rnacentral:rRNA from 1 species
GACGAACGCUGGCGGCGUGCCUAAUACAUGCAAGUCGAGCGAAGUUUUUCUGGUGCUUGCACUAGAAAAACUUAGCGGCGAACGGGUGAGUAACACGUAAAGAACCUGCCUCAUAGACGGGGACAACUAUUGGAAACGAUAGCUAAUACCGGAUAACAGCAUAAAUCGCAUGAUAUAUGUUUAAAAGUUGGUUUCGGCUAACACUAUGAGAUGGCUUUGCGGUGCAUUAGCUAGUUGGUGGGGUAAAGGCCUACCAAGGCGACGAUGCAUAGCCGACCUGAGAGGGUGAUCGGCCACACUGGGACUGAGACACGGCCCAGACUCCUACGGGAGGCAGCAGUAGGGAAUCUUCCGCAAUGGGCGAAAGCCUGACGGAGCAACGCCGCGUGAGUGAAGAAGGAUUUCGGUUCGUAAAGCUCUGUUGUUAGGGAAGAAUGAUUGUAUAGUAACUAUAUACAGUAGAGACGGUACCUAACCAGAAAGCCACGGCUAACUACGUGCCAGCAGCCGCGGUAAUACGUAGGUGGCAAGCGUUGUCCGGAAUUAUUGGGCGUAAAGCGCGCGCAGGUGGUUUAAUAAGUCUGAUGUGAAAGCCCGCGGCUCAACCGUGGAGGGUCAUUGGAAACUGUUAAACUUGAGUGCAGGAGAGAAAAGUGGAAUUCCUAGUGUAGCGGUGAAAUGCGUAGAGAUUAGGAGGAACACCAGUGGCGAAGGCGGCUUUUUGGCCUGUAACUGACACUGAGGCGCGAAAGCGUGGGGAGCAAACAGG